ensembl:lncRNA
GCCGUCAGCGUCGAGACGCAGACGGAGUUUCACUCUUGUUGCCCAGGCUGGAGUGUAAUGGCCUGAUUUCAGCUCACUGCAACCUCUACCUCCUGGGUUCAAGCAAUUCUUCUGCCUCAGCCUCCCAAGUAGCUGGGAUUGCAGGCCCUCCUGGUGGGAUCCCACCGCAUCCCCUGCCUCCACUGUCAUCUGCUCCACGUGGUAUCUCCAGGGGGACCUCUCUGCUGGGCUCCAGGCCGCAUAGCUGUGGGCGGCCAGCACGAUGUCCCACCAGGACCCCUGCAGUCCCAGUGCCCCCGCCUGCUCAUCUGGGGACCUGUCCUCACUGCCUGCUGCCUGAACUGUGUGGAAGGACAGAGGCUAAACGAGGAAGCCGGGAACUCUGGUCUCAUGGACAUGGCAGCCUGCCCACCACCCACGCCUGCCCAGCCUUUCUUCACGCAGCGCUUAAAACGUGGAGAGCGGAAUCUUCUGGGCCCAGGUAACACACCUUUGCUCCGACAUUCCCUUCACUACUCACUGGCAAGCUCAGUUGGAAAUUCGCUCCCAGUAGGAGGUUCCGCAGCAGACACAUGGAGUUUGGAAAGGCAAGGCCAGCAUGCUCUACAGGAAAACCGGACUGGUGAUAACCUUGUUGGUCAAUAGCACUGCCUGGAGACUUCCCAAGGGCUGCCAUUUGGUUAGGCUCAUUGAGAGAUACACAAAAAUAGGAGUAAAAGGCUUCACAAUUUUAAGCAUCUUGAGGAAGAGUGCUGCGUAAGGGGCUGAAUGAUGCCCCCAACCCCCCAAAAUUAGUCCACUUGGAGCCCAUGAAUGGGACCUCAUUUGGGCAAAAGGGCCUUCGCAGAUGUAAUUAAGGACCUGAAGAUGAGAUCAUCCUGGACUAAUCAGGGAGGCCCGAGACCCCAUGACACAGACAGGGGCACAGGGAGAGUUGCACGUGACAGUGGAGGAAGGGAUUGGAGGGAUGCAUCUGUGCCCAAGGAACACCAAGGGUUGCCAGCAGCUCCCAGGAGGAGACGGGAUGGAGCGGACGCUCUCCAGAGCCUUUGGAAGGAACCAACUCUGAUACCGGAUUUCUGUCCUGCAGAACUAGGAGAAAAUGCAUUUCUGUUUGAAGUUACGAAGUUUGCGGUCAUUUGUGACAGCAGCCUCAGGAGAUGAACACAGGGUGGCUCCAUGCCAGGCCAGGAGGGCAGGAGGCCGGGGCUCUGUGUGCUCCAGGGCUCACUCAGGCUCACUCUGGGCAUUCAGUGCAGUGUUUGGGGCGCCUGGCGAUGCUGGGUGUGAGGAGACGUGGUCUGUGCCUUCUGGCCCAUCACAUAAUUUGCUUUGGGUGCUGAUACCAACCACAGGCAAUUUAAUUCUAGACUGGAAUGGAGCUGGGAAGGGUGCACCUUCCUGGCAAAAGCAGCUUCGUCCAAAGCCUGCGCCUCGGAGGCUGAGCGUGGCAGGCCGGGCUGUUUUCACACGGCCACUCUAGAAAGAGCGGAAAUGCAGACGCUUUCCUCCUUCACGAUUUUUGGUUGCUUUGACUUUUGGUGUGUCUGAGAGGCUAUAACUCAAAUAGCUGUUCUCCACCUUUGGUUAGAUCCUGGAGUCUCUGGUACGUUGUCGGUCAAUGGUGCUGCGUGGAGGCUUCCCAAAGGCCGCCGUUUCGGUGGCUCCUUGAGAGAUGUAGAAGAAAUAGGAGCAAAAGGCUACACAGGAGAGAUACAAGCAGCUUCUACCUUCAAAUUACUGUGGUUUUUAUUUGACCUGUUGGAAGUUCUGGGGUUUCUAUAAAGGAUAAAAACUCCCUUUGGCACAGUUUGGAUCAGAAAAGUCCUGACUCCGGCCCCUUCAGUUUAUGACCUGAGGAGCCUGAGGGCCUGAGGGCAGCCAGUGGCCCGAACACACGGGCUCUUUAGCUGGGGAGGGACUUGAAGCCAGGUGUUCCGAUGCGAGGACCCUCUCCCACCACAUGCAGCACAGCACUGCUUGUGUUUGGUUUCGUAUUGCUUUGGGAUUAGUCCAGCUAUCACCAUUGAU